rnacentral:rRNA from 1 species
CCUACGGGAGGCAGCAGUGGGGAAUAUUGCACAAUGGGCGAAAGCCUGAUGCAGCGACGCCGCGUGAGGGAUGACGGCCUUCGGGUUGUAAACCUCUUUCAGCAGGGAAGAAGCGAAAGUGACGGUACCUGCAGAAGAAGCGCCGGCUAACUACGUGCCAGCAGCCGCGGUAAUACGUAGGGCGCAAGCGUUGUCCGGAAUUAUUGGGCGUAAAGAGCUCGUAGGCGGCUUGUCACGUCGGGUGUGAAAGCCCGGGGCUUAACCCCGGGUCUGCAUUCGAUACGGGCUAGCUAGAGUGUGGUAGGGGAGAUCGGAAUUCCUGGUGUAGCGGUGAAAUGCGCAGAUAUCAGGAGGAACACCGGUGGCGAAGGCGGAUCUCUGGGCCAUUACUGACGCUGAGGAGCGAAAGCGUGGGGAGCGAACAGGAUUAGAUACCCUGGUAGUCCACGCCGUAAACGGUGGGAACUAGGUGUUGGCGACAUUCCACGUCGUCGGUGCCGCAGCUAACGCAUUAAGUUCCCCGCCUGGGGAGUACGGCCGCAAGGCUAAAACUUAAUGAAUUGACG